UACGGAGGGUGCGAGCGUUGUUCGGAAUCACUGGGCGUAAAGGGCGUGUAGGCGGUCCGCUAAGUCUGAUGUGAAAGCCCGGGGCUCACCCCCGGAAGGGCAUUGGAAACUGGCGGACUCGAGUCCCGGAGAGGAGGGUGGAAUUCCUGGUGUAGCGAUGAAAUGCGUAGAUAUCAGGAGGAACACCGGUGGCGAAGGCGGCCCUCUGGACGGUGACUGACGCUGAGACGCGAAAGCGUGGGGAGCAAACAGG
rnacentral:rRNA from 1 species